GCUGGGCGUGGUGGCCCACGCCUGUAAUCCCAGCAGCUCAGGAAGCUGAGGCAGGAAGGUGGCGAGUUCAAAGCCAGCCUCUG
rnacentral:sRNA from 1 species